GAUGCUAAUACCGGAUAACAAACAGAUGAUGCCUAUCAACUGUUUAAAAGAUGGUUCUGCUAUCACUCUUGGAUGGACCUGCGGUGCAUUAGCUAGUUGGUAGGGUAACGGCCUACCAAGGCGAUGAUGCAUAGCCGAGUUGAGAGACUGAUCGGCCACAUUGGGACUGAGACACGGCCCAAACUCCUACGGGAGGCAGCAGC
rnacentral:rRNA from 1 species